UACGUAGGGUGCAAGCGUUGUCCGGAAUUAUUGGGCGUAAAGAGCUCGUAGGCGGUCUGUCGCGUCUGCUGUGAAAACUCGGGGCUUAACCCCGGGCCUGCAGUGGGUACGGGCAGACUAGAGUGCGGUAGGGGAGACUGGAAUUCCUGGUGUAGCGGUGAAACGCGCAGAUAUCAGGAGGAACACCGGUGGCGAAGGCGGGUCUCUGGGCCGUAACUGACGCUGAGGAGCGAAAGCGUGGGGAGCGAACAGG
rnacentral:rRNA from 1 species